rfam:Triticum aestivum genome assembly, contig: Triticum_aestivum_CS42_TGACv1_scaffold_033567_1BL
UAAAUACUUCCUCCGUUCGGAAUUACUUGUUAUCAAAAUGGAUGUAUCUAGAACUAAAAUACAUCUAGAUACAUCUAUUUCAAUGACAAGUAUUUCUGAACGAGGGAGUAUGUU